CAUAGCCCGGAAGGGCAGCAGGAGAAAUGUUAUGGUGACUGUGGUGCUCUGUGCCAUCAUCAUCCUCAUCAUCAUCAUCAAAUCACCUAGCCUUGUCUCAGGUAUUAGCUGUAUGUUCUACCCUAGCCUUGUAUCAGGUGUUAGCUGUAUGUUCUACCCUAGCCUUGUAUCAGGUAUUAGCUGUAUGUUCUACCCUAGCCUUGUCUCAUGUGUUAGCUGUAUGAGGUGUUAGCGUUAUGUUCUACCCUAGCCUUGUCUCAGGUGUUAGCUGUAUGUUCUACCCUAGCCUUGUCUCAUGUGUUAGCGUUAUGUUCUACCCUAGCCUUGUCUCAGGUAUUAGCUGUAUGAGGUGUUAGCUGUAUGUUCUACCCUAGCCUUGUAUGAGGUGUUAGCUGUAUCAGGUGUUAGCUGUAUCAGGUGUUAGCUGUAUGUUCUACCCUAGCCUUGUAUCAGGUGUUAGCUGUAUCAGGUGUUAGCUGUAUCAGGUGUUAGCGUUAUGUUCUACCCUAGCCUUGUCUCAUGUGUUAGCUGUUUGUUCUACCCUAGCCUUGUAUCAGGCGUUAGCUGUAUGUUCUACCCUAGCCUUGUAUCAGGUGUUAGCUGUAUGUUCUACCCUAGCCUUGUCUCAUGUGUUAGCUGUAUCAGGUGUUAGCUGUAAAUAGUCCUCUACCCCUGUGAUGCUCCAGAGGAGGUCAUUGGUGCUGAUUUAUUAGAACGGUUCAUUGUGACCCUGCGCUGGC